rnacentral:rRNA from 1 species
CCUAGAUAAAAUCUAAGGUGUAACCUGCCCAGUGAUCUUUAAAUUAAACUAUAAUAUAGUUAAAAUAAGAUUAAAAGGACGCGGUAACCUUGACCGUGAUAAUGUAGCAUAAUCACUCGCCAUUUAAUUGGUGGAUAGUAUGAAUGGUUGAACGAAUAUCCCACUGUCUUAAAGAAAAUUAAAGGAAAUUGAAAUAAUAGUUAAGAUGCUAUUUUAAACUGUAAGACGAAAAGACCCUAUAGAGCUUAACUAUAAUCUUUAUUAAAAUAAUUGAAUAGGAUUUCAUAUAAAAUAGAGACUGGUAGUUUAGUUGGGGCGACUAUCUUCUAAAUAAAACGAAGACAAGCAAUGUUAAUAAAUAACUUAUUGUAUAAUAAAUAAAUUUAACAAUUAUAAAAAUAGGCUAUAAUGACCCGUUAAUACUUAGUAAAAAGAUUAACGAUCAAUUGAUAAAAGCUACCUUAGGGAUAACAGGAUAAUUUCAUUUUAGAGCUCUUAUCGAAAAUGAAGUUUGUCA